UCCAGACUCCUACGGGAGGCAGCAGUGAGGAAUAUUGGUCAAUGGCCGCAGGGCUGAACCAGCCAAGUCGCGUGAGGGAUGACGGUCCUACGGAUUGUAAACCUCUUUUGUCAGGGAGCAAAGGGCGCCACGUGUGGCGCUUUGCGAGUACCUGAAGAAAAAGCAUCGGCUAACUCCGUGCCAGCAGCCGCGGUAAUACGGAGGAUGCGAGCGUUAUUCGGAUUUAUUGGGUUUAAAGGGUGCGCAGGCGGAAUGUCAAGUCAGCGGUAAAAUUUCGGGGCUCAACCCCGUCGUGCCGUUGAAACUGGCGUUCUUGAGUGAGCGAGAAGUAUGCGGAAUGCGUGGUGUAGCGGUGAAAUGCUUAGAUAUUGCGCAGAACUCCGAUUGCGAAGGCAGCAUACCGGCGGCGAUCUGACGCUGAGGCACGAAAGCGUGGGUAUCGAACAGGAUUAGAUACCCUAGUA
rnacentral:rRNA from 1 species